AGAGUUUGAUCCUGGCUCAGAUUGAACGCUGGCGGCAGGCCUAACACAUGCAAGUCGAACGGUAACAGAACUAGCUUGCUAGUUGCUGACGAGUGGCGGACGGGUGAGUAAUGCUUGGGAAUUUGCCUUUAGGUGGGGGACAACAGUUGGAAACGACUGCUAAUACCGCAUGAUAGCUACGGCUCAAAGGGGGCUUCGGCUCCCGCCUUUAGAGAAGCCCAAGUGGGAUUAGGUAGUUGGUGAGGUAAAGGCUCACCAAGCCCACGAUCCCUAGCUGGUCUGAGAGGAUGAUCAGCCACACUGGAACUGAGACACGGUCCAGACUCCUACGGGAGGCAGCAGUGGGGAAUAUUGCACAAUGGGCGAAAGCCUGAUGCAGCCAUGCCGCGUGUGUGAAGAAGGCCUUCGGGUUGUAAAGCACUUUCAGCGAGGAGGAAAGCUUAGUCGUUAAUACCGGCUAGGUGUGACGUUACUCGCAGAAGAAGCACCGGCUAACUCCGUGCCAGCAGCCGCGGUAAUAC
rnacentral:rRNA from 1 species